UACGUAGGAGGCAAGCGUUGUCCGGAAUUACUGGGCGUAAAGCGCGUGUAGGUGGUGGGACAAGUCUGCUGUGAAAGCGCCUGGCUUAACCGGGCGAGGUCGGCGGAAACUGUUCGACUCGAGGACGGUAGAGGGGGGUGGAAUUCCCGGUGUAGUGGUGAAAUGCGUAGAUAUCGGGAGGAACACCAGUGGCGAAGGCGGCUUUCUGGCCUGUUCUUGACGCUGAGGCGCGAAAGCUAGGGGAGCAAACGGG
rnacentral:rRNA from 1 species